GACUCGGUAGCUUAGUUGGUAAAGCACUUGUCUAGCGAAUAAGGGUAGUGAGUUCAAAUCUCACCUGAGCUG
rnacentral:tRNA from 1 species